ACGAACGCUGGCGGCAUGCCUAACACAUGCAAGUCGAACGAGACCUUCGGGUCUAGUGGCGCACGGGUGCGUAACGCGUGGGAAUCUGCCCUUGGGUACGGAACAACAGUUAGAAAUGACUGCUAAUACCGUAUAAUGACUUCGGUCCAAAGAUUUAUCGCCCAGGGAUGAGCCCGCGUAGGAUUAGCUUGUUGGUGAGGUAAAGGCUCACCAAGGCGACGAUCCUUAGCUGGUCGAGAGGAUGAUCAGCCACACUGGGACUGAGACACGGCCCAGACUCCUACGGGAGGCAGCAGUGGGGAAUAUUGGACAAAUGGGCGCAAAGCCUGAUCCAGCGAUGCCGCGUGUGUGAAG
rnacentral:rRNA from 1 species